UACAGAGGUGGCAAGCGUUGUUCGGAAUUACUGGGCGUAAAGGGCGCGUAGGCGGCCCACUAAGUCAGACGUGAAAUCCCCCGGCUUAACCUGGGAACUGCGUCUGAUACUGGAGGGCUUGAGUAUGGGAGAGGGAUGUAGAAUUCCAGGUGUAGCGGUGAAAUGCGUAGAUAUUAUCAAGAACACCGAUUGCGAAGGCAGCUUACUAAGGAGUUACUGACACUGAGGCACGAAAGCGUGGGGAUCAAACAGG
rnacentral:rRNA from 1 species